GUUAAAAUAGCUUAAUGAGAGUAUGGUAUUGAAGUUACUAUGGUGACAGUAAUGUCUUUUAACA
rnacentral:tRNA from 1 species